ensembl:lncRNA
CAUUCAGACUUACUGAGACUUUGUUUCUACAGCUGGAUGCACUUUAUUGACACGCACCACUGAACCUGCAGAUAGGUCAUUUCUUUUAGAUGCAGGUUCUCCUUCACUCUCUUGUCCCAGUGACUGGCGGAUCACCUGAGGAGGAUUUCAGGACAGGAUCACAGCAGCAGAUAUAGCCUCAAACGUAAUGAUCACAAAGAGAGUGAGAAGAGCAAAAUAGAAAUGGCACACUGCAGUGAGUAAGUGUGAUUCAUUCAGAUCUCAUCUACGUCUCACAGCAGAAGAGCAACGAGACCCGCAGAUACCUGAAAACAGUAAACGGUGGCAUGGACUGCUGUCUGUAAAUCCUCCGACACAUUAAUGAUCGCUCAGACCACUUCAAUGUGAUGCUAAACAGUUUAAGUGGAAGUAAUUAUCUUGUUUCUGUCCGUUUGUUUGGCUCGAGGGCCGCCCGGAUAGACUGACUCCCUGAUAAGAUCAC